rnacentral:lncRNA from 1 species
UUGACACUGUUCACCGUGGCAUCGCUGCUCUAAAUAUCCUUUGUAGAUCACCCAGCCUGGCAUCAUCUCACUCAUCCGUCUUCAUCUGUCCAUUCAUUAACGCACACAAAUACUCACGACUUACUAAGUGGUGGUAGGACCGUGAAAUCCUUCAAAUAUAUUCUUAUUUAGGAUGCACUAUAUAAAGCAUCGCUCUUUCCGCCUCUCAAACCAGUAAUGCAAGCAUCUAGCUCUACUUUGAUAAUUUAAGAAUCAGUUUUAGUGUAAAUCAUCAUGUUGCAGAAAUCAACGGCAAUCGCCUUGUUGGCGAUUCUGUUUUUGAUAAAAUCUCCUGCGACGGCAUACACCUCAGGCAGUUCUGAUGGAGGAGGAGACGGGGGUUAUGGAGGUAACUCCGGUCAAAGUGGUUACGGAGGCUCCUCUGGUGGAGGUCAAUAUGGGUCAAUGUCUGGUCAAUCGAAUUCGUUCGGCGGAGGCAAUCAACAAUAUGGAGGAGGAGGAGGUGACAGUAAUCAGUACGGGUCUGGAACGAGUGGAGGCGGACAGUAUGGAUCUGGAAUGGGCGGAGGCGGCCAAUACGGUUCUGGAAUGAAUGGAGGCGGCCAAUACGGUUCUGGAAUGGGCGGAGGCGGCCAAUAUGGUUCUGGAAUGAAUGGAGGUGGCCAGUACGGAUCCGGAAUGGGCGGCGGUCAAUACGGAGACGGAAUGGGUGGUGGUCAGUAUGGUUCUGGAAUGGGUGGUGGUCAAUACGGAUCCGGCAUGGGCGGUGGUCAGUACGGAUCUGGAAUGGGCGGUGGUCAGUAUGGAUCCGGAAUGGGCGGUGGUCAGUACGGCUCACGCGGAGGUUCCGGUAUGUACGGAGGCCAAGGAAACCAAGGUUAUGGAAAUGGGGGCUCAUUUGGGGGACAGAAUGGAGGUUCAGGAGUUGGCGGCAGAAACCAAAUACGUUUGCACCACCAGCUGCGAAAGUCUAUUUCAAUUUCCUCUGGCCCAAGAAAAACCGAGGCAUGGAAGGAGGAAGAGGUGGCUCUGGGGGUUCUGGUAAUUCCUUCGGUUCCCAAGGCGGUCAGUAUGGCUCCAGGGGUCAAGGAGGCGGUCAGUAUGGCUCUGGUGGUCAAGGAGGUGGUUACGGUGGAUCGAGCCAGUCUGGUAACGGUGGCGGGUAUGGACAAGGCCAAGGUCAGUAUGGUUCAGGAAUGGGUGGCGGUCAGUAUGGAUCCGGAAUGGGAGGUGGUCAGUAUGGAUCCGGAAUGGGAGGUGGUCAGUAUGGAUCCGGAAUGGGAAGUGGUCAGUAUGGAUCCGGAAUGGGCGGUCAGAUGGGUGGUCAAUACGACUCAAGCUCUGGUCAGUCCGGAGGGUCAUCGAACCAGUUCGGAAGUUCUGGAAGUCAGAGAUCCCAAGGUCAGUAUGGCGGUGGCUCCAUGGGUCCGUAUGGAGGCUCUGCUGGCUCGUCCGGUGGAUAUUGAGAGAUCAAAGUGCCAACCCCCCCCCCCCCCAUCGGGAAGACUGACGGAACAAUGAAUCAGCCAUUUUAAUUAUCAUGACGCUCACAUUUACUUGUUUGGGAUGAUUUAAAUUGGUUUCAAAAUGUGAAGGAUGUUAUAUGCCAUUAUAUAUUCUUCAGAUUUAAACUAUUAGAGCCCUCACUUUAUGAGACUAAUUCUGCUAAUUUAAAAUGUUAAUUUGCAGCUCUGCGAAGUAAUUUUCUUCUGUUUGGCGUCAACAAUGACGAGGGAUGAUGAGAAAUUCAGGAUUUCCUGCUUUUUUCACGUUCGUUUUUUUAAUUUCACCCUAUUAGUUCAUGUCAAUCAAUAUGUUCAAGUUAUCAGAGUGCAUCUCGAUAUGGCAACAUUUCUUUUGAAUAUGUAACCAUAAUUAUCAUUUUAAAUGAUAAAAUGAAACUGUAUUUGUUUUUAUAUUGAUGCUUUCAACAUAAUUCGUCCGGUUUGCCGUGAGCAAAAUCAUCCAGGUAUUUAUACUUCUAAAGUUGCCUCUUUGACAUGAAGGUUUUUUUAGCUCAGAAAUUUUCAAUGGACAAUUUAACAGGAAUAAAGUUAUAUUUUUCGGUAGAAAAAAUUCAUUGUUCAUUUGUGAUUUUAAUUUUGUUUUAAGAUUUUUUAUUUCAUGUGUUCUCUCACAAUUGCAAAUACCUUCGAUGUACUUUCUUUCGUGUGUGCUUUUAAUUUAUAUCAUUGUUAAGUUAUUAUAUUAUUGUUCAAGUUUAUACGUCUCAUCAUUGCGUAUUUUCUCCCCGAUGGUGGAUUUGUCUACACCUGCCCUUGAAACAGGAAGAAUAUAUGUAAAAGUUUGAUCAGCUCCUCAAUUAUGAACCCAAGAACGCAUUUUGAUCAGUAUUGCUGGGUCAAAAAUCAAGCAGGCUCAUAAUAGAAACUACCAUACUUCAGCGGCCAUUUUUGAAAGGUGGCGAUAUUGUUUUUCCUCCAUUUUACUGCAUGUAAAACAAUCGAGUCCUGGUGAAUUUUUCGGAGACAAGAACUAAAAAAAUAUGAACUCAGAAAUUAUAACUGAAUAAAAUGAAUAAUUUAUAAUUAAAGAAAUUAAAAAAAUACAGAAACUCAAUUAAAGUUUCAAAUAG